UUGAACGCUGGCGGCAGGCCUAACACAUGCAAGUCGAACGGUAACAGGAAGCAGCUUGCUGCUUCGCUGACGAGUGGCGGACGGGUGAGUAAUGUCUGGGAAACUGCCUGAUGGAGGGGGAUAACUACUGGAAACGGUAGCUAAUACCGCAUAAUGUCGCAAGACCAAAGAGGGGGACCUUCGGGCCUCUUGCCAUCGGAUGUGCCCAGAUGGGAUUAGCUUGUUGGUGGGGUAACGGCUCACCAAGGCGACGAUCCCUAGCUGGUCUGAGAGGAUGACCAGCCACACUGGAACUGAGACACGGUCCAGACUCCUACGGGAGGCAGCAGUGGGGAAUAUUGCACAAUGGGCGCAAGCCUGAUGCAGCCAUGCCGCGUGUAUGAAGAAGGCCUUCGGGUUGUAAAGUACUUUCAGCGGGGAGGAAGGGAGUAAAGUUAAUACCUUUGCUCAUUGACGUUACCCGCAGAAGAAGCACCGGCUAACUCCGUGCCAGCAGCCGCGGUAAUACGGAGGGUGCAAGCGUUAAUCGGAAUUACUGGGCGUAAAGCGCACGCAGGCGGUUUGUUAAGUCAGAUGUGAAAUCCCCGGGCUCAACCUGGGAACUGCAUCUGAUACUGGCAAGCUUGAGUCUCGUAGAGGGGGGUAGAAUUCCAGGUGUAGCGGUGAAAUGCGUAGAGGUCUGGAGGAAUACCGGUGGCGAAGGCGGCCCCCUGGACGAAGACUGACGCUCAGGUGCGAAAGCGUGGGGAGCAAACAGGAUUAGAUACCCUGGUAGUCCACGCCGUAAACGAUGUCGACUUGGAGGUUGUGCCCUUGAGGCGUGGCUUCCGGAGCUAACGCGUUAAGUCGACCGCCUGGGGAGUACGGCCGCAAGGUUAAAACUCAAAUGAAUUGACGGGGGCCCGCACAAGCGGUGGAGCAUGUGGUUUAAUUCGAUGCAACGCGAAGAACCUUACCUGGUCUUGACAUCCACGGAAGUUUUCAGAGAUGAGAAUGUGCCUUCGGGAACCGUGAGACAGGUGCUGCAUGGCUGUCGUCAGCUCGUGUUGUGAAAUGUUGGGUUAAGUCCCGCAACGAGCGCAACCCUUAUCCUUUGUUGCCAGCGGUCCGGCCGGGAACUCAAAGGAGACUGCCAGUGAUAAACUGGAGGAAGGUGGGGAUGACGUCAAGUCAUCAUGGCCCUUACGACCAGGGCUACACACGUGCUACAAUGGCGCAUACAAAGAGAAGCGACCUCGCGAGAGCAAGCGGACCUCAUAAAGUGCGUCGUAGUCCGGAUUGGAGUCUGCAACUCGACUCCAUGAAGUCGGAAUCGCUAGUAAUCGUGGAUCAGAAUGCCACGGUGAAUACGUUCCCGGGCCUUGUACACACCGCCCGUCACACCAUGGGAGUGGGUUGCAAAAGAAGUAGGUAGCUUAACCUUCGGGAGGGCGCUUACCACUUUGUGAUUCAUGACUGGGGUG
rnacentral:rRNA from 1 species